GCUGGGUGUGGUGACGCAUGCCUGUAGUCCCAGCUACUUGGGAGGCUGAGGCAGGAGAAUCGCUUGAACCCGGGAGGUGGAGGUUGCAGUGAGCCAAGAUUGCGUCAUUGCACUCCAGCCCGGGCAACAGAGCGAGACUCCGUCUUUA
ensembl:misc_RNA Metazoa_SRP Metazoan signal recognition particle RNA